UGGCAGAUGAGUGCUAGUGUUGGAGGGUUUCCGCCCUUCAGUGCUGCAGCAAACGCAUUAAGCACUCCGCCUGGGGAGUACGACCGCAAGGUUGAAACUCAAAGGAAUUGACGGGGGCCCGCACAAGCGGUGGAGCAUGUGGUUUAAUUCGAAGCAACGCGAAGAACCUUACCAGGUCUUGACAUCCUUUGACCACUCUAGAGAUAGAGCUUUCCCUUCGGGGACAAAGUGACAGGUGGUGCAUGGUUGUCGUCAGCUCGUGUCGUGAGAUGUUGGGUUAAGUCCCGCAACGAGCGCAACCCUUAUUGUUAGUUGCCAUCAUUUAGUUGGGCACUCUAGCGAGACUGCCGGUGACAAACCGGAGGAAGGUGGGGAUGACGUCAAAUCAUCAUGCCCCUUAUGACCUGGGCUACACACGUGCUACAAUGGGAAGUACAACGAGUCGCUAGACCGCGAGGUCAUGCAAAUCUCUUAAAGCUUCUCUCAGUUCGGAUUGCAGGCUGCAACUCGCCUGCAUGAAGCCGGAAUCGCUAGUAAUCGCGGAUCAGCACGCCGCGGUGAAUACGUUCCCGGGCCUUGUACACACCGCCCGUCACACCACGAGAGUUUGUAACACCCGAAGUCGGUGAGGUAACCUUUUUGGAGCCAGCCGCCUAAGGUGGGAUAGAUGAUUGGGGUGAAGUCGUACGGGGGAACCCCCAAAAAACACACCCGCCGCGGGUUUUUUGGGCCCUGACCGGAGGGUAGGGGCCCAAAAACCCCGCCUCCCCCCGGGGGGGUCCCCCCCUUUGAGCCCCCCUUUUCCCGCGCCUCCCCCGGGGAAUUCCCCUUCCCCCGCCUUCGCGAUCCCUGGGGCUCCCCUGCCUCACACAAGGGCCCCCCCCCCGGGGGGGGCGGGGGGGGGCUUUCCCCCCAACGAAUCUUUGAAGAACCCCCCCGGGCGCACCGGUCUUUUACCCCCCCAAAAAAACCACCGGGGAAAAACGGCUCCGGCCCCCCCAGAACCAAUCGCCCCGCGGGGGCGGGGGGGGCCCCGCGUAUUGGCCCCCCCCGGGGCUGUUCCUCGGGGGGAUAGACAACACCCUUUGGGGGGGGAGCAGGGCCGUUUUGUCAAAACACCCGAAAUACUCGGGGGGUUUUCCUUUUAGCACCCAAACGGACCAAGCUU
rnacentral:rRNA from 1 species